CUCACCAGCCUCCCGCGCGUGCACGCCCGCGGCCGCAGCUGAACCGCCGUAUGUUCUAGAAGAAGCCUAAGAGUGGGAUUCCUGGGGAGUAGGAGCCUCACGCCUCUCGCAUCAUGGUGAGGAAGAACAGUAUCCCCGACGGCUCCAAUCUGAGGGGCGCUGGGCAGAAAGACAUCUCAUCAGAACCCAGGAAGCAAUGAGAAACUGUCUCAUGAAAGCCUCCAGGGAAGAUAAAAAGCUCUCUGCAAGCCAGGGGAGGGCUGUCACCAAAACCAUUCUUUGCACUCUGGUCUCAGACUUCACAGCCUCCAGACUGUACCCAGACUGAUGGAGAGGCCAGAAUCUCUUCUCAAGCAUUGCUGGUCACUGUGUCAGGUGGAACAGAGAGCUGGGAACAGAGUGACGCUCGCCACUGCCAUCCACGACUCAUCGUCCAGGACAGACAACAAAGCCCGCGAAUGCCGUCGUAUUGGCCCCCUAAUGAGGUCAGGGAUUUUGGCGCCGAGCAAGGAAAAAUAUAUGACCACAAGGUGGCAGUAGCACACAAGGAAUUUUCUUUGGAGGCUGUUUGGACAGGUUUGCACGUGAGAAGGGUCCUCGCUGCUUGAAACCUGCCAAAGGCAAAGGGCUGGGGGCUGCUACCCAGAAGGGGAGGUGGGCUAGGGAACAAGAGGGCUAUUGAAGAGGAGGCUUCUGGGUCUAGGCGCUGUUGUUCCCCUGCAGAGGCAGGGAGCCUCGGGUCAGAGAGCUCCAGCCCACAGCAGCAGUUUGGGGUCUUGUGGUGGUGCAGGGUUUACCUAUGGCUAGCAGACGCUGGCUGCAAUUUCUUGGGGUAUGCAAAGCAGGCAGGCUCUAACUAGUUAAAAAUCUGCUUCUUGGGUCUAUAUUUUAAACAAUUGCAUGUGUAAAACUUUGAGUUUGGCGCCAA